UCCGGUUUGGCACCGGCAGUCCUCCCAGAGUCCCCGACAUAACUCGCUGGCAACAUGGGACAGGGGUUGCGCUCGUUGCGCCACUUAAGGCAACACCUCACGGCACGAGCUGACGACAGCCAUGCAGCACCUGUGUUCCGGUUCCCUUUCGGGCACAACCCCCUCUCAGGGGCCUUCCAGACAUGUCAAGGGUAGGUAAGGUUGUUCGCGUUGCAUCGAAUUAAUCCACAUCAUCCACCGCUUGUGCGGGUCCCCGUCAAUUCCUUUGAGUUUUAACCUUGCGGCCGUACUCCCCAGGCGGAUGACUUAACGCGUUAGCUGCGCCACCGAAACUCCAUGAGCCCCGACAGCUAGUCAUCAUCGUUUACGGCGUGGACUAC
rnacentral:misc_RNA from 1 species